AUGCCAGUAAUCCCACCUACUUGGGAGGCUGAGGCAGGAGAAUCAGUUAAACCCGGGAGGCAGAGGUUUCAGUGAGCCGAGAUGGUGCCACUGCACUCCAGCCUGGGCAACAGAGUGAGACUCCGUCUCAAAAAAAAAAAAAAAAGACAUUGUCUCCUUUCUCUAAAGCCAUAUGGUUUAGUUGGGUGGUAAGGUAGAUGAUAAAAUAUUUACAUAAAAUUAUAAGUAUAGAAAAUGAAGCAUAUACUCUAAGUAAUACACAAAAAUGUCUCCUGAUAAGCCUUUUAUUUUGUGUUUGGUGUAAUUUUUUAAAGUGACAUGUUCAUGUUUUUGAAUAAAUUUUACUUACGUCUUUGUGUUUUUAUGUACUUUCCAGUGGAAAAUUAUUAAAAAUGUUUUCCCAGCAAAUCAACACAAUUUAAUAGUAAAUAGCAAUAUUAGCAGCAUUCCAUCUAGUGCAAAAUAGGUCUUUCAAGCACAGUGGCCAAUGACCGUGGAGAAGUCUCCCAGGAAGGUUCUGGAACAGGUUCUUACAGGAAGGGCAGCCGAGAACAUCAAUGAUUAAAAGGGGGCUGAGAAGAGGAAACUGAUGGACAAAGAGGUGAGAAGUGGGAGAAAGAACGAAAAUCUGGAGGUUGGAGGAUAAACAAACCCACAUCCUUGUGGAUGAAGAAGGAUACCAAAAACUCAUUUUCCUGGAAGGAGCAAUUUUUGAAAUCAGCUACACUGAGGCUGCAGAUUGAGUGAAGGUCUUUUCCAUGUGAAUUUGUCCUGCAUCUGGGAUAAAGGUAUAAUGAUUACCUAAAGCAUGUUCUGUUCAUGGAAGAUCACUGGAACACAAAAGACCAAGCUCACAGCAUAUUCAAGACAUCUGCUCGUAUUCCACUGGCCAAAGAAAGUGAUGUGGCCCAGCCUAAAGUCAGGAACAGGAGCAGGAGGCUUUGACAACUGAGAUCUUCGAUCAUGAGUGUUGUGAAUGCAGACGGGUCUGCCCCUUGUCUUUUCCUGGGAUCUUGCAAGAAGGAACUACUUCCCUACACUGUGGGUCAAGCAUAGUAGUUCUUUACCAUCACCUGUUCGUUAAAUAUUUUUUUUGCUUCUAGGUUUUGUACUCCAGGCACUGUGCUAGGCACCAGGACUAUAAUACAACUUGUGAUCUGUAGAGGAGUCAGACAAUUAUCCAGGCAUCCCAAAGAAAUGUCAAUUGCAAGCCUGGAUCCCUUUUUCCCUGGAGGCUGUUCUGAAGAUGGCACCCUACCUGCUCACCUUUUAGUGUACCUGGGCACCCAUGCCUCCAUAUGGUGACCCUCAAAUCAUACUGUAUGAAGAGCAGCUGUUUUGUCAACUAUUUUUUAAUGAGAUUUUUUUUGCUUUGGUUUAAAAAAUAGCAUAUAUUUGCGUUAGAAAAUUAGAAAUACAGAAGAAACAGAAAUAUAAAAGAAUUACCUAUAACAUGCAAAAAUGACUAGUACAAAUGUUUUUGUUUUUUUACAGUAUGUGAACAUAUUGUAUGUUUAUAUUAAUAUCCAUAGUAUUUAUUUUUGCCUACAUGUUUUACUUAACAUAUGUAGUAAGCAUUUCCCAUGUUAGUCAAAUUAUUUGUGGACAUUAUUUUUAAUGACUAUUAAUGUUAUUACUCUACAGCUUGCCGAAUAAGUCUCCUAUUAUAUGUCAUUUUGGGUCCUAGCAACAUUUUUGUGUUUAAAUCCUUGUAGCAGUUUUGACUGAUUUCCUUAAGAUAGAGUCCAAGAAGAGAAAUAAUUUGCUUGUUUGUUUAUCAUUUGGUACUUUCUUUUAUGGUAAUGUCCUUGGGGCUGAUAAUUCAGAACCAUGAAUAGAUAUGAUUCUUGUCUUUGAGGAGAUUGUAGCCUUGUGCUAGGUUAAAGAAUAGGCACGUUUUAAAGUUCUCGAUACACAUUUUCAAAGUGCUUUUCAAAAAUUUGUAUCAAUUCAUCCUUCUACUAUAAGGGAAAAUCUGUUCUGGGUUGUUUUUCUGGUAUAUCUUCCUAUUAAGAACCUGUUCUCCCUCCUGCUUUGUGACUCACAUGGAGUUGCCACUGCAUGCUAUCAUCUCCAUCCCUUAGAGCAACCUAUUAGAGAACUUACUCUCUGGAGUCCCAAAAGAGAAACAACAGCAACAACUCAGCAAUUCAUCUGGGGUCAGCGUGUUACCCAGUCUGGGCCAUUGGAGAUUUUUUUAAAGGGAAGUUUCUCCUAUUUUCUUCAAAAUUCUGAGCUGUGAAGAGGACCACUAGAAAGUUCAAUCUAUUUAUGAUUUUUUAAAAAACUGUUAUUAUAUAUAUUUAAGUGUAUGUCAUGUUUCCACACAUAUAUACAUAGUGAAAUGAUCACUGUAAUCAAGCUAAUUAGAAUAUCCCCCAUCUCGCAUAGUCACCUUUGUGUGUGAAAAGGGUUCAGUGCUUCCCUCUCCACUCUUCAUCUCCCCUUUAAAAAAGCAGAGAUGAAUGGAGAGGGAAAGGUUGAACAAUGGUUAUGUGGUGGGACUGCUGGGAUUCACCUGAGAGUUAAAACCAGCUAGUUCUACCCGUAUGUUUUUCACUUAGAUAAGCCAACAAAUUAAUUUCUUUUCCUCUAUUCUUCUUGUCUUCUUUCCUGCCUCUUUACCUGUCUCCCUUCCUUCCUCUCUUCCCACUCUCUUUCUUUCCUUAUUUAAAUUGGUUUGAAUUGAGUUUCUGACACUAAUGGAGAGUCCUUAUUGUGCCUUCACGUUAUUUUUAUCAAACCAGAAAAUGUUAAUGACAUAAAACAAUUACUGUUUGGACAAGGAAAAUUGUAUUUCUUUCCUUGAAAUUUCUACACACAUACACAUUUGUGCUUGUUAGUGAGGCUAAGCAUUUUCCCCCUUAUUUGUGAAUUAUAUAUUCAAUGUUUUGAUCCAUUUAUCAAAUAAAUUCCUUAGUUUAAAAAAUAUUUGCAGGUGCGGUUAUUAUGGAAAGCAGCAUGAAGUUUCCUCUAAAUAUUAAAAAUAGAAUCACCACAUGACUCAGCAAUCCCUCCUCUCUAUAUAUUUUUAAAGGAAAUGAAAUCAGCACUUCAUGGAACUAUCUCCACUCCCGGCUGGGCGCAGUGGCUCACGCCUGUAAUCCCAGCACUUUGGAAGGCCAAGGCAGGUGGAUCACGAGGUCAAGAGAUGGAGACCAUCCUGGCCGACAUGGUGAAACCCUGCCUCUACUAAAAAUACAAAAAUUAGCUGGGCGGGGAGGCACAUGCCUGUAAUCCCAGCCACUCGGGAGGCUGAGACAGGAGAAUCGCUUCAACCUGGGAGGCGGAGGUUGCAGUGGCUGAGAUCGCACCACUGCAGUCCAACCUGGUGACAGAGGGAGACUCCAUCAAAAAAAAAAAAAAGAAAAAAAGAAAUAUCUCCACUCUUAUAGUCAUUGAAGCAUAAUUAACAAUAACCAAGCUAUGAAAUCAAUGUAAGUGCCCAUCAAUGGAUGAGUGGAUAAAGAAAAUGUUACACACACACACACACACACACACACACACACACAGUGGAAUUUCAUGUAGCCUUAAAAAAGAAGACGAUUUUGUUAUUUAUAACAUGCCUGAAUGUGGAGGACAUUAGGUUAAGUGAAAUAAGCCAGAAAGAAAAAUACUGCAUGAUCUUACUUAUAUGUGGAAUCUAAAAACGUCAAGUACAAAAAAGCAAAAAGUAGAAUAGUGGUUGCUGGGAUCUGGGGCUGAGAUUAUGAUGGGCAAAUGGGAAGAAAUUGAGUGCAGAGUUUUGAUUAGGAUCAAUAAGUCUAGAGAGCAAAUGUACAGCAUGAAGACUAUAGUUACUACUGGGUUGUAUACUGGAAAUUUGCUAAGAAAGUAGGUUGUAGGUCCUCUUACCAUACACACAUAUACAGGUAACUAUGCGAGAUGAUGGAUAUUCUAAUUAGAUUGACUGUAGUAAUCAUUUCACUAUGUAUGUGUAUGAAAACAUGACAUACACCUUAAAUAUAUAUAAUAACAUUAAAAAAACCCAAAAUCUUGAAAAGAUUAUUAAGCUUUCCAAUGCCCAAGAAAAGGAAGAAAAGAAAAAGAAACUGCCACAGCUUAUUUUAAAAAUAAAAGUGGGCUCUCUUUUUAAAAUAUUAAUUUUAUAGUACCUUAUCUGGUAACCAAAAUAUUUUUAAAUAUUCUGAUGCUAUUAUAGUAUAAUCAUUCUUUAAUAAUUUUGUAGAUUUCACUUUACUGAACAAAGCCCUAAACAAAAACAUUGAAUAUGACAAAAACUUGCAUAAGUUUAUUUCAUACUGAAGACAUAUAUGCUAUAGAUUUGUAGAAAUACUUCCCACUUGGUUACUUGCUUAUGUUAUGAGUUUUUACCUACAGAAACUUGCUUUUUUUCUUGUAAAAUUUAGAUUAAUUUCUUUGGUAUGUUUUCCUACUGCUUUAAAACUUCAGAAUUCCUUUUUUCAUAGAACUUUUCUAUUUUCACUUAGAAACAUUCAGAACUUAUGUUAGUGUGUGAUUUGAGGUGGUUUUUGUGUUGACUUUGUUUCCUACCUUGUUAGCUAUUUUUUCUAUGCCAUUGUGGAAUAAUUUGUUAAUUUUCAGUGGAUUCAUAAUGCCUUUAAAAAAUAAGGUUGUGUUCUCAGAGGUGAUAAAUUUUAUUUAUUUAUGAUGCUCCAUCUAUGUUAAGGCUAUUUGUAAGUCUAUGUGUAUGGUAGGAUUUUAGUUCUACACUGCAUCUUACACAGGUUAGUAAAAUAUAGCACAUUUAUUAAUUAUUUAGAGUAUAGGAUUACGUAUUGAUAAGUACAAGCUAUUGAGCCUUCCCAUGUCCUAGGCACUUUGCUGAAUUUUAAUCCUUAUCACAACUCAAUGGGAUAGAUACUGUUGUCAUCUUUUGUAGACAUGGGUUUAUUAUAGCUAUUUUAAAAUGAGUUAGCAAAUUCAAAUUUCAAAAAUUCUAUUUUUAUUUCUAAUAUGGUAAAUAUUGAUAAAUAAAAUUUAUAUAAACAAAUAUUUUGAUGUACUCAGUAACCCAUAAGGGUAUAUAAGAGCCCUGAAAUGAAAAAGUUUGAGAACUGCUUAUAAGCCCUAUAUAAUUAUUAGGUAUUAAUAUCAUUAUUAAUUUUUGAAUCUAUAUUCAAAUAUAGUUAUCAUAAAAUGAACUUCAUAUAUGUAAGUGUAUACUUUGAUGUGUUUUGACAUAUGUAUAUUAUAAUGAAGCCAUCAUCAUAAUUAAGAUAAUAAACAUAUCCAUCACUCUCAGAG
rnacentral:lncRNA from 10 species